ensembl:lncRNA
CUUUUUUUCCUCUUGCAAUACCCUAUUAUAAAAGCCCUAAUCCUCACCUUAACUAAUCUCCACCACUCUAACACCCCCUCGCACAUGGACCUGAGGCCUUCAAGCCUCCAAAAGAAACCAUAAAACCCGUCAACAAAAGCCUGCUCCUCCAGCACAUCCCGAUCUAACUUCCAGUACCCCCUACCAAAGAGGCAGACUGGCGACCCCACCUGCAGGAGCACCCCGUCGUGAUCCGAAAAGAAAACAGGCAACAGCCGCCCAGACAACUUACCCAAAGACCUGGGUACAAAAAUAUAGUCGAGCCUCCGCUCAACCCCCCUGGAGUUGCGCCAUGUAGGACCGGCCAUUUUCGGAGUAGUGUGCAGACCACCAUCAACCAGACCAUGGCAAGCCAUUAGCCUGGUAAUGGCGCCUGCACUGCUAUCCCCCCUAUUCCUAAAUCUGUAUUAAAAUCCCCCCCCCUAUCACUAAUUUCCUAUUUGUGACACACAGGGGCGUCAGACAGUCCACCAUCUCCCUCCUGUCUGCCACCACAUGUGGCCCAUACACCACCACUAAUCUAAAUUUACAAUCCCUUAUUGUGACAUCCACCCCUAUAACCCUCCCCUGCAUUACCACAAAAGAAUCCUCCACUUUUACCUCCCUGUGCCCAGACAAAAUCCCUACCCCCGAUGAGUGCACCCCCCCAAUACCCCAAACUGACUCCCCCUUGUCCCACUCCCUCUUAAACCUACUAACAUCCCCUCCAUCCCUCAGGUGAACCUCCUGUAAAAAACAAAAAUCAAACCCCACAACCUCCAAAUAACUAAAAACCGCCCUCCUCUUAACAAAAUCCCUUAAACCCCUUACAUUUAAACUAACAAAAAAUAAAAUAAAAUCAUGUAAUACACUCAAAUUCUAAACCCAGACAGAAAAAAAACAAAAACAGGAGACUCACCCGAUGCUCCCCUGCUCCAUAUCUACCGGUGAGAACACCCUCCAAAUAACUAAAAACCGCCCUCCUCUUAACAAAAUCCCUUAAACCCCUUACAUUUAAACUAACAAAAGUAAAAUUAGAUGCCAUGAAAAAAUAAAAUAAAAUCAUGUAAUACACUCAAAUUCUAAACCCAGACAGAAAAAAAAAAAAAACAGGAGACUCACCCGAUGCUCCCCUGCUCCAUAUCUACCGGUGAGAACACCAUCUGUACUCCCGACAUCCCCCCCUUCCUCCUCCAUCUCAUCAACCCAGGAUGCAGGAAUAGUGUUUGGCUCCGGGGUGCCCUGCACCCUGGGUCUAUCCCCACACUCCUCCCCCUCCCCAGUGCUGCAGCUGGUUUGGAAAAAAAAUCGGGAGGCUGAGUCCCCAAACAAAAAACUCCCCACCUCCUCCUGUACCCAGUCUUGAGUCUUGUUAUGUGUGUCCCCACCCAACAGAAGUUGAGGGCCUGGGGAAACCAGCAGCAACCCAGAGGUUUCUCCCACCCCCAUCACUCUCUUGGCCAUCCCCUCCCUCUCACUGUCGGCCAAUCGCACCCUCCUCUUCAUUCUCUUCUUUGGUGAUGGCGGCAGUGGAGAGAUACCACCCUCCCCCCCCC